GAGGAGCCAGGAGGAGACUUCACAUAAGGCAGCCUGAGCUUUUGAAUGCUGCCUCCACAAGGCCAGCCAAAAAAUUGGGUUUGGCUUCCGGAGAGUGUGGGAGGCUCCCGGGGCUGGAACACGGGCAGCCUGGAAGGGGCAUCCACUGUCUUGUGCAGAAUAAGUGUCUCUCCAGGAGAUGCUAGCUGGAUCUCCAGUCCUGGCACGGAUGGGAGAAGAGAUAGUUAUUUCUAGCUGAGCAGCCCAAGCCUGCAAGAGCGAGAAAGAAAACUAACAGUCUGGAGGACAAUGGCCUGGUUGAUUGAAUGGGGCCCAAGCUUGUGCAGUAGCCAUGGGAGUGAGAGGUGCAUGAGGAGGGAUGGGAAGUUUUCUGACUCUGUGUUGUAGAUGGACUCGGAAAGAGGCCGUGUGCUGACAGCUGGAGAUCCUGACAGAGGUCUGCUACAGUUCUGUGGUGUCCAUGUCUCUCCAGGCCUAUUACCCUAGGGCCUCUCACUGACCUGGAGUUGGUGAGCCACAAGGAUCCGCCUGCCCCACUUCCCCAGUACUGGCAUUAGAAAGGCACCAUCUUGACUGCUCAGCUGGACCAUGGGGUUGAACUCACCUGCACACAUUCCCAGGCAAGACUUUAUUCUGACCUUUUAAAUACCAGGGGUAUGUUACUAAACGUGGGAAUCAUAACCUGUGCCCCAAGUCAGGUCUGGCCACCCUUCCUCAAUAAACACACUAAAAGAGUUGAAUUGAACAUAGAAAGCAUAAAGGGGAGAUUUAUUUAAUGUGCUCACAUUGGGAAGAGGGAUAAAGAGAUUCAGUGAACACCUGAAUCUCUCUUUGUGUUUCUGAAAUGAGGUUAAAGCUUAAAUGGAAGCCCAAAGAUUGUAAGCAGUCCCAGUGACAUUGUCCUUCCCCGACUGACAUCCCUCCAAUUUACCCAUCCUUGCCUGGAUGUACAUCUCAUGCUGUAAGGAGGUCUGACAAGUUGUCUGACAGGUGUGAUCCCUCUAUAAGGGAGAUGGUCCUCCCCCCACACAGCCUGUGCCCUUGUCCUCUCCCACUGUGUGAUUCCUGGGGGAAUGCCCAUUUCCUUGAAGUCCAUUGUUUUGAUAGUCGUCAGACUAUUACUCAGGCUGAGGGACAUGGGUGCCUCUUUAGAGCAUCUUCAUUUCUGCCAGGCCAGUUUUAAUGGCUUUGUAAGUCCUGUCACCUUAGCUGACAAAUGUGCCUCAUAGGACAAAUUAGGCCUAAUGUUGCAUAGAAGAGGAGCUGAACAAGAAGGUGUCUCCUGGAUGACUCUUGAUUCGAGGCUGAUGCCAGUGGGGAAAAGCUCACCUCCCUUAAGUGUGGACCAGUCAAGACCAAGAGCUGCUGGGUGGAGGUGAACGAAGAACAGACCUAGGACCUUGGCCAUGACCUGGACCCUUGGUGCCCUUCCUGGCCCCUCGCUCCAGAGGGACUCAGGGCUAGGUAGCACCUGAUGCAGAUCUCCUGGGCAGAGAUUGUGACCAUGUAGCUCCCCUUUCAAGGACUUUGAGAGUCCUAGGAACAGCUUCCUGCGCUCAUGCUGUGUUCUUGACUUAUUUUCCUGAAGUAGGGGCAAGACCAUGUGUACAGCCCACUGAAUUAGAUAUAGACUGGUUUAGUGAGGGGAUCAAGACACGUCUACACCAUUCCUGUCUCUUCGGUGCAUGAUGGAUAGGAUACUUGUUCUUGAACACAGGCAUUAUGAGUAUUCAGGGUGUGCAAUGUGCCGAACUGCAGCCACAACUGCCUCCACCCCAACCCGAAGCUUCAACAAAAGAGCCCAGUACCAACAAAAAACACUCAGGUUCAUAUAACAGGACUCCAUUUUUGUUUCUGAUGCUCUGAGGGCCAACGUACUGUGACCUUGAAAUGCAUUGCUGGGUCUGAGUACUUUUGCAGGUCUCUAGCCCCCUUGGCAAGGAGAAGUGAACAGCAGCACCUUCCUACUGGUCCUUGGUGCUUUCGUGGGUGCUCUGCAUCUGUAGUCACCAGGGCUUGGGGGAGGGAACAGGAAGAACUCACAAACUAGGCUAAGAAGGGAUGAGAGCCUUGUAUUUGGUUAGAGCAUAAGAAAGUGGUUAGCAUUAGCACUCAGAAGGAGUCCUCAGCCUCCAUCACUACUGAGUUCCCAGCCUCUCUUCCUUGACUAAAAGGAACAGUUGUCCUGCCUCAAGGUCUAUCCCAGCACUGAUUGUCCUUCUUAUUGUUCAUCCCCAGCUCUGACCCUUCCUACACUGUUGGCAUCUUGCUUCAGCAACCCUUGGGAUAUGAUGUAGGGAGCAGCCCCUAACCCCUCACUGGCUCUGCAUGCGUGAAGCAGGACACCAGGAGCUUACCUCAUGGUCCUCACUUACACCAUGAUGAAGGGAACGGGAUCACAUUGAAGGGGGAGCUGUCUUAGUGAGACAUUUGAACAACGUGGCCAGUCAUUAGGCAUUCCAAAAGCCUGGUAAAGGGCAGGCUGCCUCUCCACAGGGCACUGGGGUGAGUGUCAAGUAGACCUUGGAGUUUCAUGAAAUAGCAGGGAAAGAGACUUUAAAGUGAUCAACAGUCACUGCUAUCAUGGCCAUCUCCCUAAUCUCUGUAAGUCCUGAAGGUAAAUUUUAAGGACCACACAGGUCUGCUAUCCACAUGAGGCAUGGAUACUUACAUAGCAAACCUCAGUUAGAAGUAAAUGAUAGCAACAAGUCAGAGCUGGCCCCGGGACAGCAAAGGCCUGAGUGCAUCUCUGUUCUGGGCCCUCAGCCUCCACUGCACAUAUAGACCAAUGUCCACAACCACAAGAUCCUAUCCCUCUAGUGUGUCCAGAACUGAGGCCUGGGAUGCUUGGACACUGGACUGGACGUGUCACAGGUAAAGCAGCAUCCUAUGUCACCCCAGGGAUAGGAGCUGAAUUUAUUUUGGACAGAUAGACCACAGAAGAAGUCCUCAUGGUUGCAUCCAUACCUGCUUAGCAGUGUACCUCAGCAGUGUGCUUUCCCACCACUGUAGCUGUGAGCAUCAUGAAAGAGGUCAACUGAACACGAGAUGCGGCUCAUUACACCAUGGACUUGCAUUGGUGAUACUGAAGCAUUCUGUGACUUGAGGUACCACUAAGAAGAACAAAAGCCUGAUGGUAGACUCUAGGAUGCCAUGGUCACCAAAGCAUGUUUUGACCUCAGCUCUGCUGCCAUGGGAACUGAUGUGGCCAUCACCAGGGGAGCGAACGCCUACAGCGCAUAGUCAUCUGAGGGGCUGUGAAGAAGACCAGCCAAUCUGCUUCAUGUGACUCCUAAAGCCAGGAACAGGAUUAGUGGUGUGGGUUUUGGGGCCACAGCAGCUCAAGGGAGCAAACUCUAUAGGAUCCAUUACGGUGGGCUUAUAAAUGAGCCCCAGAAUGCUGACAUUAGGCUCAGUACGGUCCAAAGAAUUACCCCUUCUUCAUCUAUAGAGAUGACCUACACUAAGGCAGGCAGGUAGAGCAGCUGCCUGCAAAGUCCUACUCAGCUUCAAGUCCCCCAGCUGAGAACUGAAAAGGGAGCUGCCCUGGGCAUCCUUUGUCCUGUUCCUGCCUGGUAAUUGACAUAGUGAAUGGUCGCUAAUGAAGAACGGAGUGGGACUUCCUGGGAAGUGACUGCAGACAGCCAGAAAGACAACUGCUAAUUACCAGUGCCAGCUGGUGGCCCUGGAGGACCAUGCAGACAGAAAAGAUGAGGGCUGGGAGGACCAGGCAGAGAGAAACUUCAGGAAAGCUGCUUUUGCUAGGGCCCUCUGCACCCAAGCACUGACUUACUCCAUGGAUGACGAAUCAAGAGGUCAAGACCAACACCAGCCAUGCUCUCUUUCCUGGUCAAGCCCGAGGAGGAGGUAUUAAACCACCAUCAUAAAUCUGCUAGUGUCCUCCAACUGACCUUGGCUGUUAGACUGGGCAGGCUUUCUUCAGUCUCAGACCCCAGCACUGAUUGCCCUUUCUGUUGCUCAUCCCCAGCUCUGACCCUGCCUGCACUGUUGGCAUUUUGAUUCAGCAACCCCUGGGAUAUGAUGUAGGGAGCAGCCCCUAACCCCUCACUGGCUCUGCGUGCGUGAAGCAGGACACCAGGAGCUUACCCCAUGGUCCUCACUUACACCAUGAUGAAGGGAACGGGAUCACGUUGAAGGGGGAGCUGUCUUAGUGAGACAUGUGAACAACGUGGCCAGUCGUUAGGCAUUCCAAAAGCCUGGUAAAGGGCAGACUGCCUCUCUGCGGGGCACUGGAGUGAAUGUCUGGUAGCUGCCUUCUUGGGUGUUUCUGCCUCAUAACUCAUCCUCCUGUAGUCUGGCGCGGUCUCUCCCCACACUGAGCAGGUCUCAGUUUCUCACACACCUGGUGCCCCGAGCGUCACACCUGUUCUUCCUCAGAUCUGUCUCCUCAUGAAUCCCUCCUCUCCCUCACCUCUGGGUCACACUGUGGGGUGUGGUCCUUCAGGGUCAAGGCCCCUGAUGGAUUGGGAUUCUGACCAGACAUACCUCUCCUAGCUACACUUGUUGUGAGCGACCCAGGACCUCCUUUCUUUCUUCCGUCUUUCCCCUCCUUCAUCUGGGCCCUGCCACUCACAGGGGUGAGCUGCUGGAGGGCAGGGAAGACUUCCGUUGUCAGAGUGGCUUGCCUGAAUCCCAGCUGCCCCUUAAUCUUAAAGAUGCUGAAAUCCUCGGCUGAAAUGGUAGCAGGAGAGCUCUGAGACUAACUCCCUUUCGCCUAUAUUGUGUGCUGGGACCAUACAAACUGACAGGUAGUAGAGCUUUGGUGGUUGGCAGUACUGGAGGCAAACAACCUACAACCCAGGGGUGGGCAGCUGGCUCUGCCUGCUGGUACUCCCUGCCCCCUUGGUAGUCUCUGCCCUGUUCCCACACAGACUUCUUGCAUGUAUCUCUCUCCAUCCUUCUUCUUUAUAGGAGAACACUAGCCAUGUGUUAAGGACUCCUUAACCCCGUGUGGCCCCACCUUAGCUAAUCUCACAGACUCUCUGUCAUACACGUUCUGGAUGUGUCUGGUGAAGGAUGCAUGCAGCCCAGCGUCCACCAUGAUGGCCUCUUAGAAUCUCAAGGUGAAGGCAUGGAACCUUCUUAUGGAAGAGAUGGGAAAUGGCUGUUCCUCCUUUUCCUUUAGAUCUUGCCCUGUGACCUGAGCCGCUUUCUCCCUGAUCCCCAUGGCUAGAUAGAUGCUGUCCUCACAGCAGAAGCCUGCUCUGCCCACCAGAGUCUAAGCAUCUGAGACACUGGAUCCUCUCCUUACCUGCAGAGAGGAGAAUGGAGCAGAAUCAAGACCCCUGAAGCCAGCACAUUCUGUGUGGCAGCUAGCCUUCCCCCCAUAAGCACGAGCAGGGCUCUGAUCCCAGAGAGACAUCACCCAUGUGCAUGUCUGCACACAUGCACACACGGUGCUCCGUGUAGCCCCGCGCUGAGUCUUCCUGCUUCGCCUCUGAGGCAGCUGAAGACUGAGGAAAGGAAAUGAGAUGGGGAAUCGCUUCUCGGGCAAUUACCCACACCUCGUAUAGUCUAAUGAGCCGUUGAGGGGCCCGGAUGGAACAUUUAGGGGGGUUAUUGAAUGUUUCCUCACAGUUUACCCAGUUCCAGGAGUUAAUUGAUUUAUGGACUGCAGGAGCAUGCGUGUCUCCGAAUAUGAGUGGGUGCCUUUUGGAUCUCUCUCUCUCUCUCUCUCUCUCUCUCUCCCUCCCCCCCCCCUCUCUCUCUCUCUCUCUCUCUCUGUGUGUGUGUGUGUGUGUGUGUGUGUGUGUGUGUGUGUGUGUGAAUUCGGGGCAUUCUGGCUAGAGGCCUGAGCUCCCUAGCUUUGGCAUCAGGCCUCCACAGCAUCUGCCUGCAUUUGCUGAGGAGAGGCCACGGAGGACGUGGCUGCACACCAAGGCAUGGGUCUGCAACCAUGCAUGCUCUCGGGACCAGGAUUCCCCUUACUGUUCCCAAAAUCCAGUUCAUCUUACCCACUCAGAUUUGUGCUAUACCUAGCACGAUAUUUUUAACUAACCUUACAUUUUUUUCUUUCAUUAGUUGUUUUAAAGCUACUACAAAAUGCUAUUGUGAAAUUGUUAUGUUUGAUAUGAUUGCUGCUCUCUUUUUCCCUUUCUUUCUGUUGAAAACAUUAUAUUUAAGUGCGUGUGGGGGGGGGGGAAGAGAGCUAGAGAGAGAGAGCUAGAGAGAGAGAGAGAGGGAGAGGGAGAGAGAGAUCAGAGACAACUUGGGAGAGUUGCUUUUCUCCUUCCACCAUGUAGGUUCCAAGGAUGGAAGUCAGCGCUUCAGUCUUGUAGCAAGUGCUCUUAGCAGCUGAGCUCUCUUAUCACCCUGCGUUCUUUUCCUGUUUGUUUUGAGACAGGAUCUCUCUUUGUUGCCCAGGCUGUCCUUCCUUUGUUGCCCAAUGGCUUCCUCUACAUUUUCCUAAUAAACAUUAAAAUAAUCCUGCAACUGGUCACUUCAAUAUGUUCUUAUAACCUACUCAUUGGUCACAUGGCAUAGCCUCCUCCAAGAGCCUGGACAUUCCGAAAAGGAGAGCCAUGGAAGGCCGAGAGAGAGGCAGCUUGCAGAAGUCACAUCUGUGACCUCAGAGUGAGACACUGGCAGGUAACAGGCUCACUCCGGGUGGUGGGAAGCCAGGCCAGCCAAGUGUCCCACUGGUCUCUACCUUAUCAUCUUCUAUAGAAGUAUCCUUGGUUCUACCCAGACAAAGUAGCCAGGAAGAAGCAACUGUUGGUCUUGGGCCAGAUGCUCUGGUCUGUGAACUCUAGUGUGUGAGUUUGUGCAGACUGACAUC